UGGGGAAUAUUGCACAAUGGGCGCAAGCCUGAUGCAGCCAUGCCGCGUGUAUGAAGAAGGCCUUCGGGUUGUAAAGUACUUUCAGCGGGGAGGAAGGGAGUAAAGUUAAUACCUUUGCUCAUUGACGUUACCCGCAGAAGAAGCACCGGCUAACUCCGUGCCAGCAGCCGCGGUAAUACGGAGGGUGCAAGCGUUAAUCGGAAUUACUGGGCGUAAAGCGCACGCAGGCGGUUAGUUAAGUCAGAUGUGAAAUCCCCGGGCUCAACCUGGGAACUGCAUCUGAUACUGGCAAGCUUGAGUCUCGUAGAGGGGGGUAGAAUUCCAGGUGUAGCGGUGAAAUGCGUAGAGAUCUGGAGGAAUACCGGUGGCGAAGGCGGCCCCCUGGACGAAGACUGACGCUCAGGUGCGAAAGCGUGGGGAGCAAACA
rnacentral:rRNA from 1 species